rnacentral:rRNA from 1 species
GACGAACGCUGGCGGCGUGCUUAACACAUGCAAGUCGAACGGGAAGGCCCUUCGGGGUACACGAGUGGCGAACGGGUGAGUAACACGUGGGUAAUCUGCCCUGCACUUCGGGAUAAGCCUGGGAAACUGGGUCUAAUACCGGAUAUUCAGUUCCUGCCGCAUGGUGGGGGUUGGAAAGUUUUUCGGUGCAGGAUGAGCCCGCGGCCUAUCAGCUUGUUGGUGGGGUAAUGGCCUACCAAGGCGACGACGGGUAGCCGGCCUGAGAGGGUGAUCGGCCACACUGGGACUGAGACACGGCCCAGACUCCUACGGGAGGCAGCAGUGGGGAAUAUUGCACAAUGGGCGAAAGCCUGAUGCAGCGACGCCGCGUGGGGGAUGACGGUCUUCGGAUUGUAAACCCCUUUCAGUAGGGACGAAGAGCAAGUGACGGUACCUGCAGAAGAAGCACCGGCCAACUACGUG